AGGAACCGUAUGUGUACAGGCCAUUAUUUACACACAUUUCUUGGAUCCUGUCUUGCCCAACAACUCAUCCAUCUGCCUGACCGCCUUGAAGGAAUGACGAUCGCAUUUGCAGGGUGCGCAUAAUCGCUGGGAGAGGAGGAAGAUGUCAGCAGAAAAGGUUAGACAGCUAAUGGAGUGGACCAAGAAAACAGUGAUAAGAUGAGUGAUGCUGUCCAUGUUCUAUCAUUUUGUACUGGAAACACCAAGAAACUACAUAAUUGUGAUAUUUACUACUCUCCAGAAGCUGAGAUCAUGUGUAAUAAGCAAACAUACUGCUGAGAAUUUCAGAUCUUGGCAAAUUCCUGGCAAUGCUCCAUUGCGUUCACCAACGAGAGUUAAAGAACACAAGUAUCCACUCAAUUUAUCAUGGAUUAAGAAGGAUCCUAGAGAUACCAACGAUGAAGUGAGAAGUUUUUAAAAUGUGAAAAAAAAGUGAACCAGAAGAACUUUUUAAAGUGAUUGAGAUUUAGCCAAAGGAAACACAAAACGCCUUAGCAAUAACAAGCCAUUUUCUCUCAAAAUCUGUGAACAAUGGUGCUUUCUUUUCUGCUGGUCUUGCACUUGUCACAGGACAGAUAAAUUCAUAUAGAGAUCCUCAAGGUUGAGACUCAGGCAAGGCUACAUAGUUUCGCAUCACACCUUAGAGAGAAGUAACUGCUGUUUCACCUACAGAGCUGCAGAUGAUUUGCCCUGGAGGUAGGAAUGAUAUUAUUCCCCCACUUGAUUCCCCCUUCAUGUCUUCAAAGCCCACUCUUCUUGGAAAAGAAAGAAGUUGCUCAGUUAAAAAGGAGAGUAGUUUCACUCCAUUCAAAGUGAAGUGUUAUACGUUUGUGCAGAUACUCAAACUAGCAUAUCUAAAGGGCCUCCUAAUGUAGACAGUAGUAAUACUUUAUUAAAGGUUUCAGCCCUGGGCAAGUUCACUAUGGAUUCAGCGAGACUGAGAAAAGACAACAGAAUAUUCUUGGGGUAAAAGGGGUUACACCUGGCUUUACUCUGUGGCAGGAUGUUGAACACUAGAACCAUGUCUGCAUCCAGCAGUCCUCAGGUCCAUAAUCCACCUCUGUCUCUGCCUCUACCCAGAGCACUGGGCAGAACUCUUUAUAUUGUGACUCAGUCAAUAAUAUC